UUAUAUUGGAAGAUAGUUGAUUUACAUUGUUAGUUUCAGGUGUAUAGCAAAGUGAUUUGGCUUUAUAUAUACAUAUAUCUAUUCUUUUUCAGAUUCUUUUCCCAUUAUAAGUUAUUACAGAGUCUAGAAUUGAGUUCCCCAUUCUAUAUAGUAGGUCCUUGUUGAUGAUAUAUAUAGAAGUGUGUAUAUGUUACUCCCAACUUCCUGACUUAUCCCCCGCAUGUCUCCCUUUGGUAACCAUAGUUUGUUUUCUAAUUCUGUGACUCUCUGUUUUGUAAAUAAACUCAUUUGUAUCUUUUUUUUUUUUAGAUUCCACAUAUAAAUGAUAUUUUUCUUUCUCUGAUUUACUUCAGUUAGUAUGACAAUGUCUGGGUUCAUCCAUGUUGCCACAAAUGGCAUUAUUUCAGUCUUUUUCAUGACUGAGUAGUAUUCGAUUGUAUAUAUGCACCAUAUCUUCUUUAUCCAUUCCUCUGAGAUGGACAGUUAGGUUCCCUCUUUGUCUUGGCUACUGUAAAUAGUGCUGCAAUGAACACUGGAGCGCAUGUUUCUUUUCAAAUUAUGAUUUCCUCUAGAAAUAUUCCCAGUUGUGUAAUUGCUGGAUUAUAUGGUAAAUCUAUUUUUAGUUUUUUAAGAAGCCUCCAUACUGUUCUUCAUAGUGGCUGUACCAAUUUACAGUCUCACCAACAGUGCAGGAGGGUUCCCUUUUCUCCACACCCUCUCCAAUAUAUAUUGCUUAUACACUUUUUUUUUGUUUGUUUGUUUUUAAAACAAGCCCUGGCCAGUUUUAUUAAAGGAAAAUUGUACAUGAUUUACUUUUCACCAGUCUGUUCUGGCAUGCUUCUAAUAAUACUCUGUAGUAUUUUCCACAUGCUGUGCCCAAUUCAAUAUUAUUGCCACUGUAGUGAUGGACACCAGUUUUGGCCAACAUGGCGUAAUACUCUAUUUCAGAUUUCCUCAAGGCUGGGCAGUUGUUGGCGAGGAUGACCAGUUUCGCUUUGCCUUGUCUGAUCAUUUUCAGAGUCUGUUUGUACCCCAGCACGUACUUUCCACUUUUCAUAACCAGCUGGAGCCUAGAGUUGAUGGACUCCAGUGACUUUUUCGUCUUCUUUGCGGCCACCAUCUUCCUGCUUUAGAUGCGGGACGCCCCCAACCAAGAGCAGCCGCCAAGAUGGCCGGGGAGCGAGAAAGGAAAGAGUUCCCACAAUGCUUAUACACUUUUUGAUGAUGGCCAUUUUGACUAUUGUGAGGUGAUACCUCAUCGUAGUUUUGAUUUGCAUUUCUCUACUAGUGAUGUUGGGCAUCUUUUCAUGUGCUUUUGGCCAUCUG
rnacentral:lncRNA from 1 species